rnacentral:rRNA from 1 species
UGAGGAAUAUUGGACAAUGGAGGCAACUCUGAUCCAGCCAUGCCGCGUGCAGGAAGACUGCCCUAUGGGUUGUAAACUGCUUUUAUACAGGAAGAAACCUACUUACGUGUAAGUAGCUGACGGUACUGUACGAAUAAGGAUCGGCUAACUCCGUGCCAGCAGCCGCGGUAAUACGGAGGAUCCAAGCGUUAUCCGGAAUUAUUGGGUUUAAAGGGUCCGUAGGUGGUUUGCUAAGUCAGAGGUGAAAUCCUACCGCUUAACGGUAGCACUGCCUUUGAUACUGGCAAACUUGAGUUAUUGUGAAGUAGUUAGAAUGUGUAGUGUAGCGGUGAAAUGCAUAGAUAUUACAC